AUGCAAAUUAUGUUAUUUGCAAAAGCUACGAAACAUAUGUGUUUAUCCAAACUGAAGAAGUUUGUUUUCACAACUAUGUCUCGAUUGAAUACAAAUUUGAAAAACUUUAACUCAAAUUUCUUCUCACUUUACCAUCCUUUUUCUGUGUCUCUCUCGUCCUUCAUCUUCCUUCUCUUUCUCAAUCUCUUUCUAUUUCUCUUUCUCUUUCUCAAUCUCUUUCUAUUUCUCUUUCUCUAUCUCUAUCUCUUCUUUCUCUUCAUCUUCCUUUUCUUUCUCUAUCUCUUUUUUUAUUAUUAG